UGGGGAAUCUUGGACAAUGGGCGCAAGCCUGAUCCAGCCAUGCCGCGUGAGCGAUGAAGGCCUUAGGGUUGUAAAGCUCUUUCACCGGUGAAGAUAAUGACGGUAGCCGGAGAAGAAGCCCCGGCUAACUCCGUGCCAGCAGCCGCGGUAAUACGGAGGGGGCUAGCGUUGUUCGGAAUUACUGGGCGUAAAGCGCGCGUAGGCGGACUGAUCAGUCAGGGGUGAAAUCCCGGGGCUCAACCCCGGAACUGCCUUUGAUACUGUCAGUCUUGAGUCCGGAAGAGGCGAGUGGAAUACCGAGUGUAGAGGUGAAAUUCGUAGAUAUUUGGAGGAACACCAGUGGCGAAGGCGGCUCACUGGCUCGAUACUGACGCUGAGGUGCGAAAGUGUGGGGAGCAAAACAGGAUUAGAUACCCUGGUAGUCCACACCGUAAAACGAUGAAUGCCAGUCGUCGGGUAGCAUGCUAUUCGGUGACACACCUAACGGAUU
rnacentral:rRNA from 1 species